rnacentral:rRNA from 1 species
UACGGAGGGUGCGAGCGUUGUCCGGAAUCACUGGGCGUAAAGGGCGCGUAGGCGGCCUGAUAAGUAGGGGGUGAAAUCCUGCGGCUUAACCGCAGGGCUGCCUUCUAAACUGUCAGGCUAGAGCACAGUAGAGGCAGGUGGAAUUCCCGGUGUAGCGGUGGAAUGCGUAGAGAUCGGGAAGAACAUCGGUGGCGAAGGCGGGUCUCUGGGCCGUAACUGACGCUGAGGAGCGAAAGCGUGGGGAGCGAACAGG